CCAAUCGCCUCCAAACACUAUAAAACGACGUAAAAUCGCAGAAUAGGUCGUUCCUGAAGGCUAGAAGCUUAUAGGUUUAAUCAAAAAUACAACCAUCUCCAAUCGUCUCCAAACGCUACGAAACGUCGUCAAAUCGCAGAAUAGAUCGUUUCUGAAGGCUAGAAGCUUAUACGUUUAAUCAAAAAUACAACCAGCUCCAAUCGUCUCCAAACGCUACGAAACGUCGUCAAAUCGCAGAAUAGAUCGUUUCUGAAGGCUAGAAGCUUAUACGUUUAAUCAAAAUUACAACCAUCUCCAAUCGUCUUCAAACGCGACGAAACGUCGUGAAAUCGCAAAAUAAAGCGUUUUUGAAAGGUAGAAGCUCAUAUCUUUGAUGAGAAUUUCCACCACCUCCAAUCGUCUCCAAACACUAUAAAACGACGUAAACUCGCAGAAUAGAUCGUUCCUGAAGGCUAGAAGCUUAUAGGUUUAAUCAAAAAUACAACCAUCUCCAACCGUCUCCAAACGCUACGAAACGUCGUCAAAUCGCAGAAUAGAUCGUUUCUGAAGGCUAGAAGCUUAUACGUUUAAUCAAAAAUACAACC